rnacentral:rRNA from 1 species
UACGGAGGGUGCGAGCGUUAAUCGGAAUCACUGGGCGUAAAGCGCGCGUAGGCGGCAGAGUAAGUCGGGUGUGAAAGCCCUGGGCUUAACCCAGGAACUGCAUUCGAUACUGCUUAGCUAGAGUAUGGUAGAGGGAAGCGGAAUUCCGGGUGUAGCGGUGAAAUGCGUAGAGAUCCGGAGGAACACCAGUGGCGAAGGCGGCUUCCUGGACCAAUACUGACGCUGAGGUGCGAAAGCGUGGGGAGCAAACAGG